rnacentral:lncRNA from 1 species
AGUAGAGUGCACCCGGCUUUCCUGUGUCUUCUGGGGUGUUGCUGGGGCUCUGCUGUUUCGUCUGGUCCACUAAUGGGACUAUCAUCUGAGUGUUUUACGGAUUUGUAUUUGUGGCACUACUGGGCAUGGCUCCAUUUGGUCUCAGACACCCAUGGAGCUGUUUUGAACAGAGGAGAGAAAUUCAGGAUUCUACUCAGCCCCUUAACUGGUGUUUGUUUGGAAGCUCACCAUUUGUUUAUCCAACUCUCCUAAAUCAAUCUUCAAUUCAUCUUGCUCAUGGUGUUCCCCAUGUUAUCAUCAUUUGUGCUAAUCUGAGGAUUUGGUGAUGCUGCAUUUCCUGUGAUAUUCCUACGUUGCUCCUGCGAGUUUAUAUUUUCAACCUUCUGAAACCUCCCGUGCAAGAUUUGAUGCUGAUGUUGAUGACAUCACCCAAAAACAUUGACAGGAGGUUUGCAGACCAAGUUUAUACAGCAACUCUUGGACCACUGACUCUAAAACGCACAGAAAAAUGCAAUUGAUCCAGAACAGCCCAAGGAAUGUUAAAUAUUUUUUACAGAAACACAAAUGACAUUUAUAGAAGUAUGUAUGUGCUGUGCAUAGUGAUGUUUUUUCCAAAAGGUACAACAUGAGAAGGGGAAUAAUAUUAAUUUUAUAGUGGAGAAAACUGAGCUAAACUGCCUCAUCCGUGUGAUCAAAUAACAUUAACCAUGAUAAAGCAGCUGGGCACAGUGGCUCACACCUGUAAUUCCAGCACUUGGGAGCCUGAGGUGAGA